GACGAACGCUGGCGGCGUGCUUAACACAUGCAAGUCGAACGGAAAGGCCCUGCUUUUGUGGGGUGCUCGAGUGGCGCACGGGUGAGUAACACGUGUGUAACCUGCCCUUGACUUUGGGAUAACUUCAGGAAACUGGGGCUAAUACCGGAUAGGAGCUCCUGCUGCAUGGUGGGGGUUGGAAAGUUUCGGCGGUUGGGGAUGGACUCGCGGCUUAUCCGCUUGUUGGUGGGGUAGUGGCUUACCAAGGCUUUGACGGGUAGCCGGCCUGAGAGGGUGACCGGCCACAUGGGGACUGAGAUACGGCCCAGACUGCUACGGGAGGCAGCAGGGGGGAAUAUUGCACAAUGGGCGGAAGCCUGAUUCAGCAACGCCGCGUGCGGGAUGACGGCCUUCGGGUUGUAAACCGCUUUCGCCUGUGACGAAGCGUGAGUGACGGUAAUGGGUAAAGAAGCACCGGCUAACUACGUA
rnacentral:rRNA from 1 species